CAGUAGCCGCGGGAAUACGAAGGGGGCUAGCGUUGCUCGGAAUGACUGGGCGUAAAGGGCGCGUAGGCGGCGGCCAAAGUCAGGCGUGAAAUUCCCGGGCUCAACCUGGGGGCUGCGUUUGAUACUUGGUUGCUUGAGUGGGGAAGAGGGUCGUGGAAUUCCCAGUGUAGAGGUGAAAUUCGUAGAUAUUGGGAAGAACACCGGUGGCGAAGGCGGCGACCUGGUCCUCUACUGACGCUGAGGCGCGAAAGCGUGGGGAGCAAACAGGAUUAGAUACCCCGGUAGUCCCUGUCUCUUAUAA
rnacentral:rRNA from 1 species